rnacentral:rRNA from 1 species
GACCCUACGGGAGGCUGCAGUAGGGAAUAUUGGACAAUGGGCGAAAGCCUGACCCAGCCAUGCCGCGUGAUGGAUGAAGGCCCUCUGGGUUGUAAACAUCUUUUAUCAGGGAAGAAACAUCCUGUUUCUACAGGACUUGACGGUACCUGAUGAAUAAGCACCGGCUAACUCCGUGCCAGCAGCCGCGGUAAUACGGAGGGUGCAAGCGUUAUCCGGAUUUACUGGGUUUAAAGGGUGCGUAGGCGGGAAUAUAAGUCAGUGGUGAAAGCACCGGGCUCAACUCGGUAACUGCCAUUGAUACUGUUUUUCUUGAAUGCGAUUGAGGUAAGCGGAAUGUUGCAUGUAGCGGUGAAAUGCUUAGAUAUGUUACAGAACACCAAUUGUGAAGACAGCUUACUAAGUCGUGAUUGACGCUGAGGCACGAAAGCGUGGGGAGCAAACAGGAUUAGAUACCCGGGUAGUC